rfam:Anabaena sp. 90 chromosome chANA02, complete sequence.
GCCGAUGUGGCUCAGGGGUAGAGCAACUGAUUCGUAAUCAGUAGGUCGUGAGUUCAAAUCUCAUCAUCGGCU